ensembl:snRNA U2 U2 spliceosomal RNA
AUUCCUUCUUGGCCUUUUGGCUAAGAUCAAGUGUAGUAUUUUUUUUUUUAGAGUUGAGGUUUAAGCAAAGCAGUCAGUCAGAAAGAAAGUGCCUUGGGUCAAUGACAUACACUUGUCACUGGCAAAGAUUCA